GAUGAACGCUGACAGCAUGCUUAACACAUGCAAGUCAACUGUGGCGGACGGGUGAGUAACGCGUAAAGAACUUGCCUCACAGAUAGGGACAACAUCUGGAAACGAAUGCUAAUACCAGUUACUGUGAGCGAGCUUUUCGUCCCAUUAGCUAGUUGGAGAGGUAACGGCUCACCAAGGCGAGGAUGGUUGGCCGGCCUGAGAGGGUGACCGGCCACAAGGGGACGGGGACACGGCCCUUAGUCUUACGGGAGGCAGCAGUGGGGAAUAUUGGACAAUGGACCAAAGUCUGAGCCAGUUAUUCUGUGUGCACGAUGAAGUUUUAGGAAUGUAAAGUGCUUUCAGUUGGGAAGCGGUACCAACAGAAGAAGUGACGGCUAAAUACGUGCCAGCCGCCGCGGUAAUUC
rnacentral:rRNA from 1 species